UAGGUAACUUCCCAACAGUGUUGAGGAAUAAGUGACAGGCUUUCUCCCUGGAGGAGAGCCAGCCACCCGGUUCUGCGGUGACGGGUACCUCCGCCGCGGUGUGAGUGCUCGGCCUCCGUCGGGAAGUGGAACACUCACAGGAUGACCGAAUGAAAGUACCACCCCCGAAAGGAGAGCGACGCCCGCUGGAAGCGCUUGCAGAGCUGCCGGCAACGUUGACCGCUAGCAAGCUUGGUCUUCCGCUGGGAGGCUGGUUUGCCCAUUCUGUAAAUGGCCGUGGAGAGGAGGAGGCUAGUGGUGAUAGAAAAUCUUUUCAGCCUCUCAGAGAACAAUGACAUCUUGUAAAAUAAGGCGGUCUCUCUGCUAUUUGUCCUGCCCCCCAUCACCGGAGGGCAUGAGUUUCCUGAGGAUGGAGAUGGGACUCUAUGUUCAGUUUAUAUCCCCCAGCUUUCAGAUAUUAACUGGUUACCAACAUCAAAUGCAUGUUGGAUGAAUGAGUAAAUGAAUGCAUCCA
rnacentral:lncRNA from 10 species